CCCAGACUCCUACGGGAGGCAGCAGUGGGGAAUAUUGCACAAUGGGGGGAACCCUGAUGCAGCGACGCCGCGUGGGUGAAGGAGUACUUCGGUACGUAAAGCCCUAUCAGCAGGAAAGAAAAUGACGGUACCUGACUAAGAAGCCCCGGCUAACUACGUGCCAGCAGCCGCGGUAAUACGUAGGGGGCAAGCGUUAUCCGGAUUUACUGGGUGUAAAGGGAGCGUAGACGGCAGUGCAAGUCCGGAGUGAAAGCCCGGGGCUCAACCCUGGGACUGCUCUGGAAACUGUAAAGCUGGAGUGCGGGAGGGGCAGGCGGGAUUCCUGGUGUAGCGGUGAAAUGCGUAGAUAUCAGGAGGAACACCGGCGGCGAAGGCGGCCUGCUGGACCGUAACUGACGUUGAGGCUCGAAAGCGUGGGGAGCAAACAGGAUUAGAUACCCCAGUAAG
rnacentral:rRNA from 1 species